UACGUAGGGGGCAAGCGUUGUCCGGAUUUAUUGGGCGUAAAGAGCGUGUAGGCGGUUAGGUAGGUCCGUUGUGAAAACUCGAGGCUCAACCUCGAGACGCCGAUGGAAACCAUCUGACUAGAGUCCGGAAGAGGAGAGUGGAAUUCCUGGUGUAGCGGUGAAAUGCGCAGAUAUCAGGAAGAACACCAAUGGCGAAGGCAGCUCUCUGGGGCCAUAACUGACGCUGAGAAGCGAAAGCAUGGGGAGCAAACAGG
rnacentral:rRNA from 1 species